GGGUGUGGGGACGAUCUGGCCAUGACACCUGUCAUCCCAUUGGUCGCCAGGGUUGAUUUAGCUGAUGUGUCUGGCGAGGCUGGUGUCCCCUUCCUCGCCAUUCUCUGUUUGGCUCUCCAGAAGCUGCGUGUUCGGUCGGAGAGGAUGAGUUUCCCCACAUGGAGGAGAUCGGGUGCUCAGUCAUGGGUAUACGAUAUCCGCACACACACCCCAUUGCCAGGGCUUCCAGACAAGCUCUCGAAGCCUUGUGUGUGACGGUCCCCUGAGUGAAGUCUUAGAAGAUUUAUUUUGUUUAGUUUGUGCGUGUGAGUGUUUUC
rfam:Mesocricetus auratus contig156915, whole genome shotgun sequence.